AUUGAACGCUGGCGGCAUGCCUUACACAUGCAAGUCGAACGGCAGCACGGGAGCAAUCCUGGUGGCGAGUGGCGAACGGGUGAGUAAUAUAUCGGAACGUGCCCAGUCGUGGGGGAUAACGUAGCGAAAGCUACGCUAAUACCGCAUACGAUCUAUGGAUGAAAGCGGGGGAUCGCAAGACCUCGCGCGAUUGGAGCGGCCGAUAUCAGAUUAGGUAGUUGGUGAGGUAAAGGCUCACCAAGCCGACGAUCUGUAGCUGGUCUGAGAGGACGACCAGCCACACUGGGACUGAGACACGGCCCAGACUCCUACGGGAGGCAGCAGUGGGGGAAUUUUUGGGACAAUGGGCGCAAGCCUGAUCCAGCAAUGCCGCGUGCAGGAUGAAGGCCUUCGG
rnacentral:rRNA from 1 species